UACGUAGGGUGCGAGCGUUAAUCGGAAUUACUGGGCGUAAAGGGUGCGUAGGCGGUUGUUUAAGUCUGUCGUGAAAUCCCCGGGCUCAACCUGGGAAUGGCGAUGGAUACUGGGCAGCUAGAGUGUGUCAGAGGAUGGUGGAAUUCCCGGUGUAGCGGUGAAAUGCGUAGAGAUCGGGAGGAACAUCAGUGGCGAAGGCGGCCAUCUGGGACAACACUGACGCUGAAGCACGAAGGCCAGGGGAGCAAACGGG
rnacentral:rRNA from 1 species